rfam:Picrophilus torridus DSM 9790, complete genome.
CCCGGCUUAGCUCAGUUGGUAGAGCGACGGACUGUAGAGAUGUCUCUGCAAACGCAGAUAUCCGUAGGUCUCUGGUUCGAAUCCGGAAGCCGGGA